GUGCUGGGCAGGAAUACACACUCAUGUGUUUCCUAUUCACUGGAUUUUUAAUGCCCAAAUCUGUCCUAUGAAUUGGGAAGGCAGUUGUAGUUUUCCCGAUAGUCGGAUGGAGAAGCUGUCCAGGUUGCUUUCCCAUGAGUACUAAGCGGCUAAGACCAGAGCCCAGUGCUCCUGCCUUCCAGCCUGUCCACCUUUCCUGAGUUCCACCCACCAGCUGCCAUUGAUGGGGCACACCUCCCAGAACCCCUCCUCUGGGAUGGGGAGGGCUUCCUCUCUGCACACCCAUGCCCCGCGGGGCUUCCCUGAGCCAGGAGCUGCUACCUUACCUGGAAGCCCACUUUCUCCCUUUGCUCCUUUGUCUCCAGGAACGCCUUUGUCCCCUUUCAAUCCUGGGGGUCCCCUGGCACCUGGACUUCCCUGAGGACCCAUGACUCCAGCAGACCCUGGGGUGAAAGAAGAACUGGGUGAGCUAUGUACCCAUUUUUUUUUUUUAGCAUUUUUACCUUCCCACACAUGGAUUAACUAUCUUUAUUGCCCAGAAAUAGAUAGGCGGUCCCCAAUACCCAGCCAUGCAGCUCUCUGUACACUGACUGUCCCUGUCACGCAGCAAUCAACCCCUCUGUGUAAAACUGCCCCGCCACCCAACAACUAACCUUCCCUGAACACACUUCUCCGUUGCUGAGGACUCCAAUCUCCCUAGAUAGGAACCGUCCCCAGAGCCCCCUCAUGCACCCUUCUUGGAUACAGAUUCUCCCCGUAGUCCAGCAAUGCCACCUUUGCCUUUACGGGUGGUUGGGGGGUGGGGGUUAGGCAUUGACAGCUCCAAGCAGGCACAGGAGAACUGGACCCAGCUCAGCCCAGCUCUUUCCACUGCUCACCUGCUGCCCCUGCAUUUCCAGGGGCUCCACGCUCACCAGGGACGCCACGAUCUCCCUUAGGGCCUGCGGGGCCUCUUGCCCCUGCCGAGCCCUGCAUGCCAGGGGCACCGACUUCUCCUGAGGAAGGAACACACAGGAACAAACACAGCUAAGAAUCGGCCACAGACCAGCCACCUACCUUUGGGCCCAGCUUCUCCUUUUGGGCCUGGCUUGCCCUGAGGUCCUAUGUUCCCCUGCUUCCCCAGGGGACCUUCUCUUCCAGCUGGACCAGGCACACCAGGAGGUCCUGGAGGUCCUGAGGAAAAGCACCAGCCUGGUCAGUAAUAAUGAAGCCUCUUGGCAGAAGGAGUGUAGUAAGGUGAGGGUAAUAACAGAGGUGAGGGAGGCAGCAUUGUUGUCCUCCCAACAGCAGGUCCUAUCUGUCCUGAAAUGACCCAGUGCCUUCUUCCUGGGAUGGGCUCUGUGUGUGCCCACUGGCAUAUCCUCGCAGCUGCACCACCACCGGGAAACACCAGAAGUCGACACCCAGUUGCUCACCACUUGGCCCGGUGUCUCCCUUUGGUCCAGGUUCUCCAAUGGAGCCAUUGUCCCCUUUGGGCCCAACUGGGCCAGCUUCUCCAGGCAUCCCUGCUUUCCCUGCAGCUCCUGGCAAACCUGUAGCAGCAGAAGAAAUGGACAAAGACCUGGCCCUAGACCCAGAAAGGGCCAGCUGCCUGCGGGAUCAGCCCCCAGCAUUCCUUCAGGAUUCUGCAGAGCAUGAGACUUCCACUGUCACACACCCGGGUCCAGUGGUGACCCAGGAAAUGGGUAUCAACAUCCCCAUUUUAUAGAUGAGGAAGAAGCCUUCCAGAGUUGGAGGUGGAUUAAAGCCAAGACCUGUCUGACCUUCUAUGCUGUGCUCCUUCCCCUGCCCCAAGGCCAUUGCAUUGAUGGCAGGCAAUCUGUCAGCUCUUAUCUGUGAUCAUGGACUUCUGCAUUCCCCUUAUAUAUAUAUAUACACCAGGGAAACCUAUCAAAAAUGGCACCAGACAGGUGGUGCUAACUUGUUCAUUCA